rnacentral:ncRNA from 1 species
GAAAGUCUUCGGGGCAAGGUGAGAAGGCAUUUUGCCUUCAAUUCCUGACCGGCGGUGAUAGGCGAAAAGCCUUAAGCCCGCGAGCCGAAAGGCUGAUCCGGUGAGAUUCCGGAGCCGACAGUAAAGUCUGGAUGGGAGAAGACUUGU